AGGGCUGUAGCUCAGUGGCAGAGUGCUUGCCUUAUAUGCAGAAGGUCCUAGGUUCAAUCCCCAAUUGCAUCCCCA